rnacentral:lncRNA from 1 species
CAGGGAGUGUUUCCGCCCUCACAAAGGCUCUUUGUGAUGGCCCGCGCUGCUGACACCGCCUGGCCCAGCCCGUGCCGUUCCCGCACGGUGCCGCUGAGAUAUGAGAAAAGCUCUUUACAGAGAGAUGGAGAAGGAAUUAGUUAUACCUCUGCCUCAUCCUGUGAGACCAGAAGACAUGGAGUAAAUGGAAAUUGCGAUUCUCAGGAGACGCACUAAGAGUCUUGGGUUCCUUUUCUGCCUUCCCCCUAAGGCCUUGGUUACAUUGGGUUCACCCUGGGAAGGGCAUGUUGCUCAGGGCAGUUAUUUCCUACCUGAGACAACGUGGGGUGUGUUUUUCUGAUGUUUUCACUUGUGGUUUUCAGCGCAUGUUCACACUGCUUCUGUUAUUGAGAAAAUGGUUUGGGAAGAUGUCUGCCGUUUCUCAGGAUUUUCUGCCAUUGCCUGCUGGCAGAAAAAAUCAGUAAUGCGGGUGGAGCCAUGUAGGACUUCCCUGAGGUAAGCCUUCAACGGACAGGGACCCCUAAACUCGUGCACCAAGCAUUCAAGACAAAUGUCUGUGGCACAAAGAUCAAGGACGACUUCUCAGAGGUAAGCAGCUUUCCCUUUGUUUCCCCAUCCUCUCAGGAGCCGUCUUUACUAUCGUUGUACACACUUCAGGCUCACAACACUCGUUUUCUCCUCUAUUUAGUAUUCCUAGUCCCUGCCUGGUGGUGGGUUGAAGUCUACGGGUUGAUGUGUUUCCAAGUGAAAAGAGAUAAGUACAUCUAUUUAAGGUGACAUCUAGUAGGAUCAUUUAAAGUAAAUUAAUCUAUAUAGUAGUAGGUGCCUUUAUUGCAUGCAGCUCUUCUUCAGGUGAGUAAUUGUGGAGGAAUCGUUAAGUGAGGCGGGACAUGUGAAUGUUGAGCA